GAAAUACAAGAAGAAUAAAUGACGUCAUGUCGCCACCCUCGCCAAAUUGUUUUAUAAACAAUAUCCUCGCAUGUUCGAAAAAGGAAACUUUGACAUGGGGCACCAAGAAUUCCAUCGUUUUUUCCAGACAGAAGAAGGAUCAAAGUGGUCUACAGUAUUUGCUAAUUAAUGAUGCUUUUAAGAAUACAAUGAACUCAUUAGCAUUCUGUCCUAAUGUCGAUAGUCCAGACUGUCCAGAAUUACUAAUUUCUGGUGGUGAUGAGGAUAACGUCAAAAUUUGGAAUGUGGAUACGUUAAAAUUGGUCUCCCAGUUCUCGUUUAAGGAUAGUAAAUCAAUUAUAGAAGUUGAUUGAUCAGUCAAAGAUACCAAUAUUGUAUAUGCAAUAAAUUCAGAGGGCUGUUUAAUGUAUUGUUACAUAUCAUAUCAGAUGUCAAAGAUAAUAUCUCUAGGCCAGAUAAUUCCUACAUGUUUGGCUUCGUGUCCCCACGACUCGAAUCUUGUAGCGAUAGGUACCAAAAGUGGAUUAAUUUAUAUUGUUCAAAAAGAAACAAUAUUAUAUAAAUUGGAUGGUCACGAUUAGAAAAAUAUAAUCAGUUUAUCGUGGUGUCCUUCGGAUAUGAACAUCAUAAAUAGAAAUGAUAAAAGAGAUUUACUUUUAGUUUCUAGCGCAGAAGACCGAUAUGUGAUUAUUUGGAAAGCUGGCGGAGAUGGUAAACGCGAGAUUUUGAUAAAUAUGCCAAGUUCGCCAUCUUGGUAUAAUAAACACAAACGCAUUUUAAUUUGGAUUGCAGUGUGUUUGGUGAAGUCAGUAGUGCUUUUAAUUUCCUCUCCUUGGGGUGAACUUUGGUCUUGGAAUCUUUCUACAAACAAAAAUAAACUUAUGUAUAAGCUGUUCCAUACAUAUCACAGGAAACCAUUGUUUUCCAUAGUCGCUCUAUCCAAAAAUGAUUCAAUAUCCGUCAAUGGCAAAACAAAGUUCGAACUUACGAUUUGGACUUACGCGCAAGAUCGCUGCAUUAUAUGUUGCAAAGCAAACAACAAUUCUAAAUCAGCGGUCCUGAAUUAUAA